UCCGGCUCGUGGUUACUAAUUGAAUUUUUUUUCUCAGUUUGCUGCUGUGUUUUUAUAACAAAAUAAUCACUUUUUCGUUUAUUUUAUUACCCCCUUUUUAACUCAUAUGAAAAGUUUAAUCCAAAACAGACAAAAACAAAUACCUCUGAACACAAUUUAUAAUGUAACGAAUACUAGUAAUGCAGUCACCACGAAAGCGACAAGCAGAGUCUCACCUUUCACCGGUAUCUCUUUGAAGCUGAAGGUCAGGCGCGCCUCGUUGUUGAACCCUUCAGAGUUGUUGCAGCUUAUCUCCAUGGUUACCGAGUCCAGCUCCUCGCUCAGUGACGUCAUAUCCUUGGAUCCCUUUAGACGCACCACAUACUCUGUAUCGCAGAAAUACUGAAGUACAAGUGCCCUGUAACCUGCUCUACUGGACGCCGUCACUUCGAAGUAGUCGACUUCCGGAAUGACGUCAUUGAUGUAACACGUGACGUCAUCGACCACGCGCUGUCGUGUUAUUUGAAAUUUGUGGAUGACGUCGCCAGAAGGGACCAAAGAAAUGCUUGCAGCGGAAUGCUCGGUGACGUGGUAUCUAUGGUGACGGCAUGGUUGCUAUGGAACAGGUCCACGUUGUAGAUAUUGACGUCUGUCACAAGAGCGCCGAUCUCCAACAAGUCUGUGAUAGUGUGGGAUUUGUCGUCACAAGACGGCGGGACUUCUAAAAAUAUAAAUAACUAAACUAUAUUAAUAAACCAAUUAAACUGGGCUUUGUGUUUUAAUGAUACCCUUUGCCAUUUAGCUCAAAUGUGUUUUUAGCAUGAUUGUGUUUCUUUACCACGGACAGGUACAUACUGUUGUUCUACCAUUUUUGAAGUAUGCAUCGCAAAUGCUUAUAUCGUGUUUUUCGUUUUUGUUUUUUGUGUCAUACGCAUUUGGGGAAAUAUAAAACAUCAUACGAUACAAAAUAAAAAAAUUGUAUAAAAAUAAAAACUAAUCAAACUGGCAACAACAAUAAACAAGUCUAUGUAUCGAGUUCAAAAGCAGGUGAAUGAAUAUGCAGCUUAUCUAAAUUCGCAUUUAACUACCGUAAUCUGCUAUCAAUGGCCGAAGUGAGUCGAUGUCUCUUCAUGAAUAUUUAACCCAUUUAAGAACAGGUGCGUAUUCGCGUUUCCCAAUUCUAUUGAUCGAAAAACGCGUCAGUUACGGGCAGCUGUUUAGUUUAUAAAACUGUUUUCAUCAAGGGGAAUAUUUGUUUCAAUUAAAGAUUGCUUGAUAUUUGAUAAGCAAGAAAAGAUUGCAA